rnacentral:piRNA from 1 species
CAAGUGCCGAGAUUAAAGGCG